rnacentral:rRNA from 1 species
UACAGAGGUCCCGAGCGUUGUUCGGAUUCACUGGGCGUAAAGGGUGCGUAGGUGGCAUGUUAAGUUUGAUGUGAAAGCUCAGGGCUUAACCCUGAAAUGGCAUUGAAUACUAGCGUGCUGGAGGUUUGGAGGGGGGACUUGGAAUUCUCGGUGUAGCAGUGAAAUGCGUAGAUAUCGAGAGGAACACCAGUGGCGAAGGCGAGUCCCUGGACAACACCUGACACUGAGGCACGAAAGCCGGGGGAGCAAACAGG